rnacentral:rRNA from 1 species
UGCAGUCGAACGCAUCGCAAGAUGAGUGGCGCACGGGUGAGUAACACGUGGGAAUGUGCCCUUUGGUUCGGAAUAACGUCUGGAAACGGACGCUAAUACCGGAUGUCCCCUGCGGGGGAAAGAUUUAUCGCCAAAGGAGCAGCCCGCGUCUGAUUAGGUAGUUGGUGGGGUAACGGCCUACCAAGCCGACGAUCAGUAGCUGGUCUGAGAGGAUGAUCAGCCACACUGGGACUGAGACACGGCCCAGACUCCUACGGGAGGCAGCAGUGGGGAAUAUUGGACAAUGGGCGCAAGCCUGAUCCAGCCAUGCCGCGUGAGUGAUGAAGGCCUUCGGGUUGUAAAGCUCUUUCGCACGUGACGAUGAUGACGGUAACGUGAGAAGAAGCCCCGGCUAACUUCGUGCCAGCAGCCGCGGUAAUACGAAGGGGGCUAGCGUUGUUCGGAAUUACUGGGCGUAAAGGGCGCGUAGGCGGUUUUUCAAGUCAGGCGUGAAAGCCCCGGGCUUAACCUGGGAACUGCGCUUGAGACUGUGAGACUAGAGUACCGGAGAGGUAGGUGGAAUUCCCAGUGUAGAGGUGAAAUUCGUAGAUAUUGGGAAGAACACCAGUGGCGAAGGCGACUCCCUGGCCAAAGACUGACGCUCAUGUGCGAAAGUGUGGGUAGCGAACAGGAUUA